rnacentral:rRNA from 14 species
AAAACUUAAAGGAAUUGACGGAAGGGCACCACCAGGAGUGGAG